rfam:Colinus virginianus strain Texas jcf7180006226079, whole genome shotgun sequence.
UGGUCACACAGGGCUUAACCGAGAGGACAAUGGCAUCUAUAGGCGUAAUGCGGGGAUUUCGGGGUGUCCGCGGUUAGAAUCCUCUCAGG